UACAGAGGAUGCAAGCGUUAUCCGGAAUGAUUGGCGUAAAGCGUCUGUAGGUGGCUUUUUAAGUCCGCCGUCAAAUCCCAGGGCUCAACUCUGGACAGGCGGUGGAAACUACCAAGCUGGAGUACGGUAGGGGCAGAGGAAUUCCGGUGGAGCGGUGAAAUGCGUAGAUAUCUGGAGGAACACCGGUGGCGAAGGCGGCAGUUCUGGACUGCAACUGACACUGAAGAACGAAAGCCAGGGGGGG
rnacentral:rRNA from 1 species